UACGGAGGGUGCAAGCGUUGUCCGGAUUUAUUGGGUUUAAAGGGUGCGUAGGCGGUUCUUUAAGUCUGGGGUGAAAGCCCGUUGCUCAACAACGGAACUGCCCUGGAAACUGGAGGACUUGAGUACAGACGAGGGUGGCGGAAUGGAUGCUGUAGCGGUGAAAUGCAUAGAUAGCAUCCAGAACCCCGAUUGCGAAGGCAGCUGACUAGGCUGGUACUGACACUGAGGCACGAAAGCGUGGGGAGCGAACAGG
rnacentral:rRNA from 1 species